AACGCUAGCUACAGGCUUAACACAUGCAAGUCGAGGGGAAACGAUGUUGGAAGCUUGCUUCCGAUAGGCGUCGACCGGCGCACGGGUGAGUAACGCGUAUCCAACCUGCCCAUCACUUGGGAAUAACCUUGCGAAAGUAAGACUAAUGCCCAAUGACAUUUAUAGAAGGCAUCUGAAAUGAAUUAAAGAUUUAUCGGUGAUGGAUGGGGAUGCGUCUGAUUAGCUUGUUGGCGGGGUAACGGCCCACCAAGGCGACGAUCAGUAGGGGUUCUGAGAGGAAGGUCCCCCACAUUGGAACUGAGACACGGUCCAAACUCCUACGGGAGGCAGCAGUGAGGAAUAUUGGUCAAUGGGCGAGAGCCUGAACCAGCCAAGUAGCGUGCAGGAUGACGGCCCUAUGGGCUGUAAACUGCUUUUAUAAGGGAAUAAAGUGAGUCUCGUGAGACUUUUUGCAUGUACCUUAUGAAUAAGGACCGGCUAAUUCCGUGCCAGCAGCCGCGGUAAUACGGAAGGUCCGGGCGUUAUCCGGAUUUAUUGGGUUUAAAGGGAGCGUAGGCCGGAGAUUAAGCGUGUUGUGAAAUGUAGUGGCUCAACCUCUGCACUGCAGCGCGAACUGGUCUUCUUGAGUACGCACAACGUGGGCGGAAUUCGUGGUGUAGCGGUGAAAUGCUUAGAUAUCACGAAGAACUCCGAUUG
rnacentral:rRNA from 1 species